rnacentral:rRNA from 1 species
GACGUAGGGCGCGAGCGUUGUCCGGAUUUAUGGGGCGUAAAGAGCUCGUAGGCGGCUUGUCGCGUCGUCCGUGAAAACCUGCAGCUCAACUGCAGGCUUGCGGUCGAUACGGGCAGGCUAGAGUUCGGUAGGGGAGACUGGAAUUCCUGGUGUAGCGGUGAAAUGCGCAGAUAUCGAGAGGAACACCUGCGGCGAAGGCGGGUUGCUGGGCUGACACUGACGCUGAAGCGCGAAAGCUAGGGGAGCGAACGGG